ACCACGAGAACAGCGGCGACUAAUCCCGUUGUUGUUUUUGGUAUUUGACCUCAGAUCUUUUCUGGAUUGCAGGUUUUCUCUUAUUUACGUUACAUUUUGGUGAAGCUGUGAAAGGGCGUGGCAUGUUCCCAAACUGAACCUCACAUAGCUUGAGGAUAAACAGUUUAUCAUCUUGAACAGGAGCCAAGGGGCUCACGAGUGGAUGUAAAGGAAUCGUCAUUUUGUCAUUACACCGAGCUUGGAAUUUAUGACAUCUGGGAAUUAGACCUUCAAGGCGGCCUUCCUGGGUUUAUUUUAAUUCUUGAGCAAAGUGCCCCCAGUUGACAGGGAUCCUCAGAAGGAUGAUUGAAGGAACCAUGUGAGAGGAGAGCCUGAUAAGGAAAUGAAGGUGGAAUGAUGGGUUGUGGUCCAGGAGAAGGAACCCAAUCUUUAACAUUGGGUGCACUGAAACUGGAUCUGUGGGACCUGUGCAGCUGUCUCUUGGAAAUAGCUGUGAUGUCGGACGCCUUCAUGGUGGUCUCACGCUAGUGAGGCCAAUGGGCAACUAAUCCAAAAUCUAAUCGCUGGGAAAUUAAAUCAUGCAUAAAUCCAGGUUGCAAAGUCCACUGUCAUCAUGUCUGACACAGAGGAAGUUGGGGUCGAGGGUAAGUAGCACCACCACUCCUGAUUAUAUAUCUAAAAAAAUGAUCCACCCCUAAAAUUAGGUCCAGGUACAGUCGGGAGUUCCAUGCUAAAGGCCCAGGAUUACUUCUGAAUCUUGUCUAACUGACUUUCCAUCCCCUGUAGAGAGUUAUUUGAACUGGACAAAUUGCAGGUUUGGCUUGACUCCUCCAGAUUCAAGUUGUGCAAUAAUGCUCUCUCUCCUUCAAGCAAAUGACCACACCAGCACUGACAACAGGCCAGUGCUUUUUAUGCUUUGUGAGAUUAAAAUCUAAACUUUUAGAAACAUGAAUCGCACAAAGCGGCACAGUCCUGUUGGCAGAGAGUCCUGCAGCUCUGCAUGACAAUCUGCAAAUGUGCAGUCCUCCUGAGCUGAACACACUUUGAAAACAACUUGGAAGUUUUGCUCCAAUCAGCUCAUGAGGACUGUUUUGUGUAUGCUUAGCAUGGAUCCCCAGUGUACCCACAUUUUGCUUUUGUAUUCUGUCAAAAAUGGGUACAUAUGGGAUCUUUUAAUAAUAUUCUUCUGCUCCUCUCUUUCUCGGACGGACGUGAAGAAUACGAUGGUAAGACACAACCUCCAGACUCCGGAUGAUAAGUCUCACGUCACUGAUACUAAUUUGUUAGUCGUCCCUGAACAGGUUUUUGUGGCAUGCUAGUUAACUCUAACAUAACCUGAGAUAAGUGAAGACACAGGUUGUAAACAAAGUUGGUUGGCGUCAGGUUAGAAUCUCUCUUUUGUCUUUGACCGCAUCCAAUUGCAGUGCAGGUAUUUCCAGGAAUCGAUCACAUUUCAUCAAUGAGUGACUGACCUUUUCUUUCCUGUAACUGCUUGCUGUCUCACCUGCUUUAGCAUCAUCCAGUGACAGUUCGUUUGAACUGCCUCACCACGAACCUCCUCAUAUCUCAUAUCUCACAUCUCCUCCUUUCAUCCACUGACCGCCUCCUUCCCUCUUCCAUUUCUCCUGCUUCCAUUAACCCUCUCACUGCCCUUCCUCUCCCCUGGUGACUCGCUGCAUGUUGUGUAGCUGUAGAAGAGGAGGUAGUAGUGGAGGUAGAGGUGGCCCCUGAGGCGGCCCCUGAGCCAGAGCCAGAACCACAGCCAGAGCCAGAACCAGAACCAGAAC